AGCUUUGAGCAGUGGCAGUAUCGUAGCCAAUGAGGUUUAUCCGAGGCGCGAUUAUUGCUAAUUAAAAUGCUUAAUUUUAUAUGUAUUUUACCUCAAUUUUUUAAAUUGUUGGGUUCAUAUAUGUAGAGUAUUAUAAUAA